rnacentral:rRNA from 2 species
GACGAACGCUGGCGGCGUGCCUAAUACAUGCAAGUCGAACGAACUCUGGUAAUGAUUGGUGCUUGCAUCAUGAAUUACAUUUGAGUGAGUGGCGAACUGGUGAGUAACACGUGGGAAACCUGCCCAGAAGCGGGGGAUAACACCUGGAAACAGAUGCUAAUACCGCAUAACAACUUGGACCGCAUGGUCCGAGUUUGAAAGAUGGCUUCGGCUAUCACUUUUGGAUGGUCCCGCGGCGUAUUAGCUAGAUGGUGAGGUAACGGCUCACCAUGGCAAUGAUACGUAGCCGACCUGAGAGGGUAAUCGGCCACAUUGGGACUGAGACACGGCCCAAACUCCUACGGGAGGCAGCAGUAGGGAAUCUUCCACAAUGGACGAAAGUCUGAUGGAGCAACGCCGCGUGAGUGAAGAAGGGUUUCGGCUCGUAAAACUCUGUUGUUAAAGAAGAACAUAUCUGAGAGUAACUGUUCAGGUAUUGACGGUAUUUAACCAGAAAGCCACGGCUAACUACGUG